UUUACAAUGAAGAGUUUGAUCCUGGCUCAGGAUGAACGCUAGCUACAGGCUUAACACAUGCAAGUCGAGGGGCAGCAUUUUAGUUUGCUUGCAAACUGAAGAUGGCGACCGGCGCACGGGUGAGUAACACGUAUCCAACCUACCGAUAACUCCGGAAUAGCCUUUCGAAAGAAAGAUUAAUACCGGAUAGCAUACGAAUAUCGCAUGAUAUUUUUAUUAAAGAAUUUCGGUUAUCGAUGGGGAUGCGUUCCAUUAGUUUGUUGGCGGGGUAACGGCCCACCAAGACUACGAUGGAUAGGGGUUCUGAGAGGAAGGUCCCCCACAUUGGAACUGAGACACGGUCCAAACUCCUACGGGAGGCAGCAGUGAGGAAUAUUGGUCAAUGGGCGAGAGCCUGAACCAGCCAAGUAGCGUGAAGGAUGAAGGCUCUAUGGGUCGUAAACUUCUUUUAUAUGGGAAUAAAGUUUUCCACGUGUGGAAUUUUGUAUGUACCAUAUGAAUAAGGAUCGGCUAACUCCGUGCCAGCAGCCGCGGUAAUACGGAGGAUCCGAGCGUUAUCCGGAUUUAUUGGGUUUAAAGGGAGCGUAGGUGGAUUGUUAAGUCAGUUGUGAAAGUUUGCGGCUCAACCGUAAAAUUGCAGUUGAAACUGGCAGUCUUGAGUACAGUAGAGGUGGGCGGAAUUCGUGGUGUAGCGGUGAAAUGCUUAGAUAUCACGAAGAACUCCGAUUGCGAAGGCAGCUCACUAGACUGUCACUGACACUGAUGCUCGAAAGUGUGGGUAUCAAACAGGAUUAGAUACCCUGGUAGUCCACACAGUAAACGAUGAAUACUCGCUGUUUGCGAUAUACAGUAAGCGGCCAAGCGAAAGCAUUAAGUAUUCCACCUGGGGAGUACGCCGGCAACGGUGAAACUCAAAGGAAUUGACGGGGGCCCGCACAAGCGGAGGAACAUGUGGUUUAAUUCGAUGAUACGCGAGGAACCUUACCCGGGCUUAAAUUGCAACAGAAUAUAUUGGAAACAGUAUAGCCGUAAGGCUGUUGUGAAGGUGCUGCAUGGUUGUCGUCAGCUCGUGCCGUGAGGUGUCGGCUUAAGUGCCAUAACGAGCGCAACCCUUAUCUUUAGUUACUAACAGGUUAUGCUGAGGACUCUAGAGAGACUGCCGUCGUAAGAUGUGAGGAAGGUGGGGAUGACGUCAAAUCAGCACGGCCCUUACGUCCGGGGCUACACACGUGUUACAAUGGGGGGUACAGAAGGCGGCUACCUGGUGACAGGAUGCUAAUCCCAAAAACCUCUCUCAGUUCGGAUCGAAGUCUGCAACCCGACUUCGUGAAGCUGGAUUCGCUAGUAAUCGCGCAUCAGCCAUGGCGCGGUGAAUACGUUCCCGGGCCUUGUACACACCGCCCGUCAAGCCAUGAAAGCCGGGGGUACCUGAAGUACGUAACCGCAAGGAGCGUCCUAGGGUAAAACUGGUAAUUGGGGCUAAGUCGUAACAAGGUAGCCGUACCGGAAGGUGCGGCUGGAACACCUCCUUUCUG
rnacentral:rRNA from 1 species